UCCAUCCCAUACAUUACAUCUUAAAGAAAUCGUAGUACCUUUGCUACUCGCUAACCACUAGGUGACUGCUCGAGUGGUUGUGCUAUUGCUUGCUGCAUACGAGGCACCGCUCGAGCGGUGGUGUUAUCAAACUGAAAUCUAUUCGUGAUUUUGGCAUUUUUUUACACUCCUAUUCUACCUCAGCACUCCAUUAUUUAUUAGGUCUAUUAUAUUAGGAUUCCAUCAUAUGUUAGACUCUUUUUGUAUAAUAUAUAUGAGUAAACUUG
rnacentral:lncRNA from 1 species